CAGGCCUGACCAUCCCCGACAAAGAGGAGAGAGAGGCAGAGCCACCACAGAACAUCUUAAUGUUUCUUAUCUAACCAUCGUCUCACCGUCCAUGCCCCAACAGUGCCCUAAUGGUCCUACCUCAUCGUUCGAUAAUGUCAGCCCUUGCCAUGGAUGAAUGUCCACUUUCACUCCCUGCAAAUGCUCCUUCUUUGCCAAAUGUACACCCCUCAAUCCCAAUAUGAUUCUACUUAGGCUGAAGGCCAAUUUGAAUUUGUUAAUGUUCCAAUAUGUGUGGAGGAUGACAAAGAUGAUGAAGAUUACAAUUUAAGUGAUUUUUCUAAAUCAGAUGAUGACAUAAAUGAAGAUUUUGGUAUGGAGGAUGAUGGAAUCAAUAGAGAGAUUGGGGGCAAGCAACUUGAGGGGAAACAACAAGGAGACGUGUACAAAGAAAAAGAAUGGGCAAUCUGGACAAUCAUCUACUUUUGGAGCUAAAGGGCAAUCAAGACAUCCUUUAAGGAUACUAAUGGGGCCAUUAUACUUUUUGUUUUUCAAUAUUAUUGGAAAAGUGUAAUUAUUGAUUCAUUGGGUGUUAUUUUUUUACAAACAAUAUAUAAUUUAUAAACACUCAAUAUUUUAAUUCA